AGUGAACGCUGGCGGUAGGCCUAACACAUGCCAGUCGAACGGCAGCACAGUAAGAGCUUGCUCUUACGGGUGGCGAGUGGCGGACGGGUGAGGAAUGCAUCGGAAUCUACUUUUUCGUGGGGGAUAACGUAGGGAAACUUACGCUAAUACCGCAUACGACCUACGGGUGAAAGCAGGGGAUCUUCGGACCUUGCGCGAUUGAAUGAGCCGAUGUCGGAUUAGCUAGUUGGCGGGGUAAAGGCCCACCAAGGCGACGAUCCGUAGCUGGUCUGAGAGGAUGAUCAGCCACACUGGAACUGAGACACGGUCCAGACUCCUACGGGAGGCAGCAGUGGGGAAUAUUGGACAAUGGGCGCAAGCCUGAUCCAGCCAUACCGCGUGGGUGAAGAAGGCCUUCGGGUUGUAAAGCCCUUUUGUUGGGGAAGAAAAGCAGCAGGUUAAUACCCCGCUGUUCUGACGGUACCCAAAGAAUAAGCACCGGCUAACUUCGUG
rnacentral:rRNA from 1 species